UCUUAUCUAGUUGUCGUUUUUAUGGU
rnacentral:piRNA from 1 species